UACGUAGGUGGCAAGCGUUGUCCGGAUUUACUGGGUGUAAAGGGCGUGUAGCCGGGUUGACAAGUCAGAUGUGAAAUCCUGCGGCUUAACCGCAGAACUGCAUUUGAAACUGUUGAUCUUGAGUACUGGAGAGGCAGACGGAAUUCCUAGUGUAGCGGUGAAAUGCGUAGAUAUUAGGAGGAACACCAGUGGCGAAGGCGGUCUGCUGGACAGCAACUGACGCUGAGGUUCGAAAGCGUGGGUAGCAAACAGG
rnacentral:rRNA from 1 species